rnacentral:rRNA from 1 species
GACGAACGCUGGCGGCGUGCUUAACACAUGCAAGUCGAACGGAAAGGCCCUGCUUGCAGGGUACUCGAGUGGCGAACGGGUGAGUAACACGUGGGUGAUCUGCCCUGCACUUCGGGAUAAGCCUGGGAAACUGGGUCUAAUACCGGAUAGGAGCCAUUUUUAGUGUGAUGGUUGGAAAGUUUUUUCGGUGUAGGAUGAGCUCGCGGCCUAUCAGCUUGUUGGUGGGGUAAUGGCCUACCAAGGCGGCGACGGGUAGCCGGCCUGAGAGGGUGGACGGCCACAUUGGGACUGAGAGACGGCCCAGACGCCGACGGGAGGCAGAAGGGGGGAAUAUUGCACAAGGGGCGCAAGGCGGAUGCAGCGACGCCGCGUGGGGGAUGACGGCCUUCGGGUUGUAAAAUCCUUUCGCUAGGGACGAAGCUUUUUGUGACGGUACCUAGAUAAGAAGCACCGGCUAACUACGUG